rnacentral:lncRNA from 1 species
CCAGGGGGAACCCAGCUCACCGGUGAGCCUGCCUCCCGCUUGCGCUUACUGUCUCUCGCCAUCUCCCCUUGAUCACACCCGGUAACUCCCUGACGUCUACCUGUCUACAAUCUAGCCCACAGAAAAAAAAUCUGCCAACUUCCUCCAUAAUGGACCUGAAGAACAUAAGAUUAAAAAGGUAAACCAUAUGGUAUUUUAUAUUAUUUUCCCCAUCCUAAUUUUUAAAAUUAGAAAGUUUAUUGCUUAAGAAUCAGAAUUAGGCCAUGUGUUUUGUUCAGUGAUACUGCUGAACUAAAAACUAAAUGCAUGAGUGGCAUUUGCAUUUAAUUUUUUAAAGAUUUAACACCCAGGAGGAUUUCAGGAACUCAAGACCCAACAUCAUUUGUGUUAUCACACCAUUCAAGAUGCAUGGAACAUGGAGCUUGUGACAUGGAAGACUUCUAUUUCUAUAGAGCAUCAUAAUGGGUUACUAUGUACGCGUG